UUAAUUGAAGAGUUUGAUCAUGGCUCAGAUUGAACGCUGGCGGCAGGCCUAACACAUGCAAGUCGAGCGGUAACAGAAAGUAGCUUGCUACUUUGCUGACGAGCGGCGGACGGGUGAGUAAUGCCUAGGGAUCUGCCCAGUCGAGGGGGAUAACAGUUGGAAACGACUGCUAAUACCGCAUACGCCCUACGGGGGAAAGGAGGGGACCUUCGGGCCUUUCGCGAUUGGAUGAACCUAGGUGGGAUUAGCUAGUUGGUAAGGUAAUGGCUUACCAAGGCGACGAUCCCUAG
rnacentral:rRNA from 1 species